AGCUACUUAUAAGGCCAGGCGGCAUAUAAGUAGCGCCGACAAGGGGAAACUCUACAGGAAUUUAAGUGAUGUUUUCAGCAUUGAAGAUGAGGAGGAUGAAGGACCAUUCGGCGGAGCGAGGGAGAUAGAGCGAGAGGGAGAGUUAGAGCGAGGAUUAGAGCGAGUGGACCUGAGGGAGAGAUUGAAGCAAGGGAAGGAGAACGGAUACCUGCAGAAGAGCACCUUGAUCCUGACCCACACCAGCCUCUUAGUAGUAAGGGACGGGCCUACUACUACUACUACUACUACUACUACUACUACUACUACUGCUACUACUACUACUACUACUGCUACUACUGCUACUACUACUGAUGCUACUUCUGCUGCUGCCUCGCUGGUAGUAGUGGAUAUUGACAGGUUCAUCAUUCCCGGGGCCUCCAAAGCCACCAGACUAAUUAAGGAUCAAAUCUUGCGUCAAAUGGAGAGUCAGUAAUUAUAUAUAUAACUAUUAUUAUUAUUAUUAUUAUUAUUAUUAUUAUUAUUAUUAUUAUUAUUAUUAUUAUUAUUGUUGUCGUCUGCCAUUAAAAUAUAUAUUGUU